UUUAUUCGAUACCAGUUCUACCACUUUUUUAUUUCACCUAGUUGUGUUCAAUGUUUGAAGUUAACUCCGGAGAAGUUAGACUUUGAUAUAUCUGUUUAAACUCAGUUCGGAGAAACCUUCGUUACCUCCACUAUUUAUAAAUCUUGUUCAAAUCAACACUUUCACGUUACGUGUUGAUCUUGUCUCUUUGAAAAUACUUGCCUUUGAUGCAAUUUUAGGAAUCGAUUGGUUAACUA
rnacentral:lncRNA from 1 species